rnacentral:misc_RNA from 1 species
AAAUAAACCCGAUUGCAACGACAGCCCCGAGGCACGAGGGCUAUAGUGGAAAGCGGGACUGCCU